AGUUACAGGGUUACUUUCAAAAAUAUGACAAAUUAUUGAAGGUGCCUAACAGGCAAACUGCACCAGUUCCCUUAAUUUCCCACCGAUUUUCAUGAAAAUUGCAUUGAUGCAAAGGGUUUUUAAUUUAGAACCAUAAAUGUAUCUAUAAAAAAAAUAAAAAAUUGGAAAUUUCCAGAGUUACAGGAAUAUUUUCAAAAAUAUGGCAAAUUAUUGAAGGUGUGUAAGAGGCAAACUGCACCAGUUCCCUUAAUUUCCCACCGAUUUUCAUGAAAAUUGCAUUGAUGCAAAAGGUUUUUAAUUUAGAACCAAAAAUGUAUCUAUAAAAAAAAUAAAAAAUUGGAAAUUUUCAGAGUUACAGGAAUAUUUUCAAAAAUAUGGCAAAUUAUCGAAGGUGUGUAAGAGGCAAACUGCACCAGUUCCCUUAAUUUCCCACCGAUUUUCAUGAAAAUUGCACUGAUGCAAAGGGUUUUUAAUUUAGAACCAAAAAUGUAUCUAUAAAAAAAAUAAAAAAUUGGAAAUUUUCAGAGUUACAGGGUUACUUUCAAAAAUAUGACAAAUUAUUGAAGGUGCCUAACAGGCAAACUGCACCAGUUCCCUUAAUUUCCCACCGAUUUUCAUGAAAAUUGCAUUGAUGCAAAGGGUUUUUAAUUUAGAACCAAAAAUGUAUCUAUAAAAAAAAUAAAAAAUUGGAAAUUUUCAGAGUUACAGGAAUAUUUUCAAAAAUAUGGCAAAUUAUCGAAGGUGUGUAAGAGGCAAACUGCACCAGUUCCCUUAAUUUCCCACCGAUUUUCAUGAAAAUUGCAUUGAUGCAAAGGGUUUUUAAUUUAGAACCAAAAAUGUAUCUAUAAAAAAAAUAAAAAAUUGGAAAUUUCCAGAGUUACAGGAAUAUUUUCAAAAAUAUGACAAAUUAUUGAAGGUGCCUAACAGGCAAA